UACGUAGGGUGCGAGCGUUGUCCGGAUUUAUUGGGCGUAAAGGGCUCGUAGGCGGCGUGUCGCGUCGGGAGUGAAAGCCCGUUGCUUAACGGCGGGUUGGCUUUCGGUACGGGCAUGCUGGAGUGCGGCAGGGGAGACUGGAAUUCCUGGUGUAGCAGUGAAAUGCGUAGAUAUCAGGAGGAAUACCGAUGGCGAAGGCAGGUCUCUGGGCUGACACUGACGCUCAUGCACGAAAGCGUGGGGAGCAAACAGG
rnacentral:rRNA from 1 species